rnacentral:rRNA from 1 species
UUAAAAAGAUAGUUUUAAACUUAAUUUGAAAUUUCUUUAUUAUUUUUAUUUUUAGUAAUUACUUAUUUUAAUUAAAUUAUUUUUUUUUUAUUAUUUAUAUUUGAAAAAAUUAAUUUUAUGAUAGUAAAUAGUAUUGUGAAAGAAUUUAUUUUAUUAUUUAUAAGAAAAAUUUAUUUUUUGUACCUUGUGCAUCAGGGUUUAUUAAAAAUUCAUUAAAAAUUUAAUAAUCUCGAAUUUAAAAGAGCUAAUUAAUUAUAAUUUUUAUUGUAAAAUAAAUAUUUUAAAUAAUUUAUUAGUAAUGAAAUGUUAUUCGUUUUUAAAUAUAUCUAGUUUUUUAAGAAAUAAAUUUAAUUUAAUUAUUAAGAAUAUAUUUUUUUUUAUAUAAUUUUAUAUUAUUAAUAUUAAAUAUAUUUAGGGAUGAGCUUAAAUAUAGAUAAUUAAUAAAAAAUAUUUUUAUUAAAAAUUUUAGGAUUAGAAAUUUUCAAAAUUUUAAGUAUGUUAUAAUUAAUUUUAAUUUUAUAUAAUUUUUAUUUUUUAUAAAUUAUUUAUUAAAAUUUAUUUAUUAAUUUUAAAUAAUUAGUAAUAAUGAUAGAAUUAGUAUAAAUUUAUUUAGAUUUAAAUAUUUAAAUAAGGUUAAUUAAAGGAAUUCGGCAAAUUAUUUUUCACCUGUUUAUUAAAAACAUGGCCUUUUGUUAAAUUUUUAAGGUCUAACCUGCCCACUGAAUCUUUAAAGGGCCGCAGUAUUUUGACUGUGCUAAGGUAGCAUAAUCAUUAGUUUUUUAAUUGAAAGCUAGAAUGAAGGGUUGAAUGAAAAAAUUACUGUCUUUGAUUAAUUUAAUUAAAAAUUUAUUUUUAAGUUAAAAAGCUUAAAUUUUUUUAAAAGACGAGAAGACCCUAUAGAGUUUAAUAUAUUAAUAAUUAUUUAAUUUUAGGAUUUUAUAUUUUAUAUUUUUUAAUCUAUUAAGUUGGGGUGAUUGAAAAAUUUAAUAAACUUUUUUUUUAUUUUAAUAUUUAUAAAUAAAUAAAUGAUCCAAUAUUUUUGAUUAUAAGAAUAAAUUACCUUAGGGAUAACAGCGUAAUUUUAUUAGAGAGUUCAAAUCGAUAAUAAAGAUUGCGACCUCGAUGUUGGAUUAAAAUUUAAAUUUGGUGUAGAAGCUAAAUUAUUAAGUCUGUUCGACUUUUAAAAUUUUACAUGAUCUGAGUUUAAACCGGUGUGAGCCAGGUUGGUUUCUAUCUUUAAAUAAUUAUUAUAUUUUAGUACGAAAGGACCAAAUAUA